GAUGAACGCUAGCUACAGGCUUAACACAUGCAAGUCGAGGGGAAACGACAUCGAAAGCUUGCUUUUGAUGGGUGUCGACCGGCGCACGGGUGAGUAACGCGUAUCCAACCUGCCCACCACUUGGGGAUAACCUUGCGAAAGUAAGACUAAUACCCAAUGACGUCUCUAGAAGACAUCUGAAAGAGAUUAAAGAUUUAUCGGUGAUGGAUGGGGAUGCGUCUGAUUAGCUUGUUGGCGGGGUAACGGCCCACCAAGGCGAUGAUCAGUAGGGGUUCUGAGAGGAAGGUCCCCCACAUUGGAACUGAGACACGGUCCAAACUCCUACGGGAGGCAGCAGUGAGGAAUAUUGGUCAAUGGGCAGAGCCUGAACCAGCCAAGUAGCGUGCAGGAUGACGGCCCUAUGGGUUGUAAACUGCUUUUAUAAGGGAAUAAAGUGAGAGUCGUGACUCUUUUGCAUGUACCUUAUGAAUAAGGACCGGCUAAUUCCGUGCCAGCAGCCG
rnacentral:rRNA from 1 species